rnacentral:rRNA from 1 species
GACGAACGCUGGCGGCGUGCUUAACACAUGCAAGUCGAACGGAAAGGCCCUGCUUUUGUGGGGUGCUCGAGUGGCGAACGGGUGAGUAACACGUGAGUAACCUGCCCUUGACUUUGGGAUAACUUCAGGAAACUGGGGCUAAUACCGGAUAGGAGCUCCUGCUGCAUGGUGGGGGUUGGAAAGUUUCGGCGGUUGGGGAUGGACUCGCGGCUUAUCAGCUUGUUGGUGGGGUAGUGGCUUACCAAGGCUUUGACGGGUAGCCGGCCUGAGAGGGUGACCGGGGACAAGGGGAAUGAGAGAGGGAGCAGACGGGGACGGGAGGCAGCGGGGGGGAGGAGGGCGGAGCGGGGGGGAGCCGGAGGCGGAGAGGUGGUGUGCGGGAUGAGGGGGGACGGGGGGAGAACAGAUGGGGAAGGGGACGAAGAGUGAGGGACGGGAAGGGGUAAAGAAGCAACGGCUAACUAAGGG